rnacentral:lncRNA from 1 species
UAUCCUGUCUUCAAGCUCACUAAGUCAUUCUUCUGCUUGACCAAUUCUGCUAUUAAAAGACUGUGAUGCAUUCUUCAAUGCAUCAAUUGUGUUUUUCCACUCGAGAAUUUCUGCUCGAUUCUUCUUAAUUUUGUCAAUCUCUUUGUUACAUUUACCUGACAGCAUUCUGAAUUCCUUCUCUGUGUUACCUUGAAUUUUUUUGAGUUUUCUCAAUAAAGCUAUUUUCAAUUCUCUGUCCAAAAGGUCAUGUAUCUCUGUUUCACAAAGAUUGGUCCCUGGUGUCUUAUUUACUUAAUUUGGUGGAGUUAUGUUUUCCUGGAUAGUCUUAAUAUUUAUAGAUGUUCAUUUGUGUCUGGGCAUUGAAGUUAGGUAUUUAUUGUUUUCUUUGCAGUCUGAGCUUGUUUGCGAUUGUCCUUCUCGGGAAAGCUUUUCAGAUAUUCAAAAGGAAUUAGAUGUUUUAACUUAAGCUGUAUCUGCUUUAGGAGCUACCCCAGGACCAGUAACACUGUUGUUUUUGAAGAUUCAUAGAGGAACCGCCUUGAUUUUCUUGAUCAAGAUCUGGAAGAAUUAUCUCAAUUGCCAGCUUUGCAGGCCCAGGAGAUUGUGGACCAAGGUCAAGGCCUAGUGAAAAAGAGCGCAGUGAGGAGCUUGACUCCGUUGUGGUUAAGAGGUGAGUCUUUACACCAUGCACCACAUAAAUGAGAAGCAAUUCAUGGGAUGACUUUCUGAAAACUCAGUUAUGGGUUUGCUCAGUCCAGAGCAAACACCAUGAAAAAUAGGACUCUACCACAGUUGAUGCAAUAUAUGCUUUAAAAUAGCAAAGAAUAUAUGGCACUCUUUCUCCCAUAGCCAGAGUAGAAAUGUUUGGGAAUGAGGGGUGGAAGUGUUUGACUCAUCACUCUUUCAGCUGACUUAUAGCACUUUUCUGAGUCUUUGCUAUACAGAGAUUGUCUUUUCUAUUUUUAAUUUUAAUAUAUGAAUUUCUUUGAAGUACAAACAAGAAGAGAG